rnacentral:rRNA from 1 species
CAUUGAUGGUAAUUUACAACUACCAUCCGCCUGGGAACUACGAGCACCAGCUUAAAACCCAAAGGACUUGGCGGUGCUUUAGACCCACCUAGAGGAGCCUGUUCUAGAACCGAUAACCCCCGUUCAACCUCACCCUUCCUUGUUCUUCCCGCCUAUAUACCACCGUCGUCAGCUUACCCUAUGAAGGGUUAAUAGUAAGCAAAACUGGCAAAGCCCAAAACGUCAGGUCGAGGUGUAGCGUAUGGAAGGGGAAGAAAUGGGCUACAUUCACUAACCCAGUGCACACGGAUGACACCCUGAAACAGAUGUCUGAAGGAGGAUUUAGCAGUAAGUAGAAAAUAGAGUGUUCUUCUGAAACUGGCCCUGAAGCGCGC